rnacentral:snRNA from 9 species
AUACUUACCUGGCGUAGGGGAUACCGUGAUCAUGCAGGCGGAUCCCCCGGGCGAGGCUGCUCCAUUGCACUGCGGAGUGGUAGACCCUUGCGAUUAUUUUUAUGAAUAAAAAAAUCAUAAUAA